rnacentral:rRNA from 1 species
GACGAACGCUGGCGGCGUGCUUAACACAUGCAAGUCGAACGAUGAAGCAAAGAAUUGAAGCUUCGGCAGAAAUUCAUUUCGGAUUAGUGGCAGACGGGUGAGUAACGCGUGAGCAACCUACCUCUUACAAAGGGAUAGCCUCGGGAAACCGGGAUUAAUACCAUAUAACAUUGCGACGAAGCAUUUCGAUGCAAUCAAAGCUACGGCGGUAAGAGAUGGGCUCGCGUCCCAUUAACCAGAUGGUGAGGUAACGGCUCACCAUAGUAACGAUGGGUAACCGGCAUGAGAGGGUGAACGGUCACACUGGAACUGAGACACGGUCCAGACUCCUACGGGAGGCAGCAGUGGAGAAUAUUGCACAAUGAAGGGAAAUCUGGUGCAGCGGCGCCGCGUGAGUGAUGAAGGGAUUCGUUUCGUAAAUCUCUGUUCUAUGAGAAGAAAAGGACUGUACCAGAGGAGAAAGCUCCGGCUAAAUACGUG